UGUGAGGGCGAUUUUGCAACCAUCGGUAACAUCUGCGUCGUGCCGGGCAUGGCAUUGGAGGGGGCGAACUGAGUGGGGGAUGGUCAGGCUGGCAUGUGGGCAUGAGCAGAGUCCCGAGGGGGGCACGGGACUCGCAUACUGGGGGUCUCAGCUCCACAGCAGAGGUGUUUAAUUCUGUUCUCCCUGAGUGUGGGCAUCGCGGCAACCUGCUCGCCCUGUUCCACAGCACUCGUUCUGGAGGAAGCCAGCUGCCAUGUCGUGAGGAUACUCAAGGCAUCCCGUGGGGACUGAGGCCUCCCGCCAACAGCCACGUGAGUGUGCCGUUUUGGAAGCAGAUCUCCCGGCGCCAGUCGAGCCUUCAGAGUUUUUAAGAAUGAAAAAUCCCCACUUACCCGUCCCUGAGAAGCUGACUGUGGGCCUGAGUGUAAGAAGCCGACUGAAGAUACGAUUCUUGGUCCUGAGAUGUGGGGCAGACCCACCAGGAGAAACACUUGCAUUUCUUCCAGUGACACCGAGACCCGGAGAAGUGGGAGGUGAUGCAGGGGGCUGCUGAGCCCAGCAUGUCCUGGGGCCACAUUAUUUCAGGUUUUUGUGACUUGCUGAGGAAGGGUUUCCCUACCCAAGAUCAUGAAAAUAUUUCCCCUUUGGGCCUACACGUCUCUUCUUGAGGUUUGGCUUCUCUUCCUUCUGUCCCAUGGAUCGGUCUGUUCCUGACCCCAUACCCCACAGUUAUUGUAUGUUCACCUGUUGUCCAUCACUGCCCAUGAGAAUUAGAGGCUUCCUGGGGACAGAUAUUCUUGCCUGUUCUGUUCCACGCUGUCGCCCUGGUGCUCAGCAGGUGCCUGGUGCAUGGGAGGGAUGCGGUACCCACGACUCCCAAGGCUGAGAGGGUGUUUCGCCAAGAUACUCUUCCCCUCCUCGGCCCCCACCCCUAUCUCCUGCCCCCUCCCUGCACGGUUCCCACUGUCUGGGGGCCUCUGCUCGCCUGCCUGGUGUCCCUUCUUGCCCCUGUCCCCACAGCCCACCCACUCCACUAAUCUCCGUCCUACCCAACCGGGGACGAAUCCAUUCAAGCAAGGACAAGAGACUCCCCUCCUCCCACACAACCAGGCAGCCCUCUGAAGGCCUCAACAAGGGCAAGGGGGUGCUGGCCAGGAGGCUGGCUGGACACCCCGUCUGAAGAGAUACGGUUUUAUGCCUCAUGGUUCACACGUCAUUGGCCCCCACGAUUGCUCAUGAGCUCAAUUGUAUGUAAGUAGCCAUUAAUUUCUACUGUAAUUGGUGGAGAGGAGCAGCAGGGUUUCCAUUAAGGGAUAAGAAAGUUCCAACCUCAAGCUGCUAAUCAAUAAAAUGAGAGCAUAAUGAUACACCGCAGAGCUCCAUAAACUCACUCAUCGCUAACAAGAUGACACAAUUCCCAAGGCGGCCUCGGGGGCCACGGUCUUGCUUGCUGUUCUGCGGCUGGACAAGUUCAGGCUGAUAACGGUAAUCCCGGGAGGACCAGUGGGAGGGGAGAGGCGGGGCACGCUGGGAGGCAGGCCCCACAGGACUUGGGCUGUUUGGAUGUGGAUUUGAGGGGGAGGGAGGCACAGAGGCCGCCGGCUCCCAAGAGUCUGGCCUGCAUAGCUGGGGAAGGGUGACAGGCCCAGCAACCGUGCAGAGAGGCAAAGACGAGGCUGCUCUGUGCACCGUGGGUCACCUCCCUGAGCCCCGGUUUCCUCAUCUGUCAGAGGGGUAUCAGAAUCUCUGUCCCCACAGCACCUCCGAGAGUGUGGGCGUUGUGAACAUUGAGAAGUUCAUCACACCCUCUAUGGAACCUGCACAAUUCUCAUAAAUUCUGUCUGACCGAGUCAGCGUGGCCUGACCCUGAGGCCCCGGGCACCGAAGUGGGCACUCAGUCACGUGGUCGUGGGUGUGUGAUUUGGCUUUUAUGAUAAGUGGCUGGGAAAUGUUUUUGGCAAUGCAGGUGGGUGUCCCUAGAGGGCCGGGACCCUAGUGGGAGACCCCCACCGGACUGGUGGACCCCGGGUGCCUUUAGACCAGCACCUUCUAAACCAGCCUGGGGAAAAGCAGCCCUCACAAAGGACAGCCUUGGACAAGCAGGGGUUAAUGGGGUCAAUGGAAGGAACGGACUAUUGGUCCAGCCUUCAGGACCUCACUGAUUCAUUCAGUUAUUCAUUUGCUCAUUCCCUCCCUCCCUCGGCUGUUUAUUCACGCCGUGGGGGAGGACCAGCGAAAAACAAGAACAUGGACAAAGAAACCUCGAAUCAACUGCCUGCUAUGAAGAAAACCAACAGGGGGCUGAAACGGCAAAUGACAAGGUCCCUGCUUGUCAGGAAAGCCUUUCGGAGGAGGUGGCCAUCCAGCUGAGCCCAGAGAGCAGAGGGGCGGGAGUUCUGGGAAGAGGGAAGAGCACUGGCCAAGGCCCUGAGGUGGGAAAAGCUCAGUGUGUUUGAGAAAUGACGUGGCUGGA